UACGUAGGGGGCAAGCGUUGUCCGGAUUUAUUGGGCGUAAAGCGCGUGUAGGCGGUCAGGUAGGUCCGUUGUGAAAACUCGAGGCUCAACCUCGAGACGCCGAUGGAAACCAUCUGACUAGAGUCCGGAAGAGGAGAGUGGAAUUCCUGGUGUAGCGGUGAAAUGCGCAGAUAUCAGGAAGAACACCCGUGGCUAAGGCGGCUCUCUAGUACGGUACUGACGCUGAGACGCGAAAGCGUGGGGAGCGAACAGG
rnacentral:rRNA from 1 species